GCUGGGUGUGGUGGUGCGCACCUGUAAUCCCAGCUACUCAGGAGGCUGAGGCAGGAGAAUUGCUUGAACCUGGGAGGUGGAGGUUGCAGUGAGCCAAGAUCAUGCCACUGUACUCCAGCCCAGGCAACAGAACAAGACUCUGUCUCAA
rnacentral:SRP_RNA from 2 species